AGUGAACGCUGGCGGCAGGCCUAACACAUGCAAGUCGAACGGCAGCACAGUAAGAGCUUGCUCUUACGGGUGGCGAGUGGCGGACGGGUGAGGAAUACAUCGGAAUCUACUUUUUCGUGGGGGAUAACGUAGGGAAACUUACGCUAAUACCGCAUACGACCUACGGGUGAAAGCAGGGGAUCUUCGGACCUUGCGCGAUUGAAUGAGCCGAUGUCGGAUUAGCUAGUUGGCGGGGUAAAGGCCCACCAAGGCGACGAUCCGUAGCUGGUCUGAGAGGAUGAUCAGCCACACUGGAACUGAGACACGGUCCAGACUCCUACGGGAGGUAGCAGUGGGGAAUAUUGGACAAUGGGCGCAAGCCUGAUCCAGCCAUACCGCGUGGGUGAAGAAGGCCUUCGGGUUGUAAAGCCCUUUUGUUGGGAAAGAAAAGCAGCAGGUUAAUACCCCGCUGUUCUGACGGUACCCAAAGAAUAAGCACCGGCUAACUUCGUG
rnacentral:rRNA from 1 species